rnacentral:tRNA from 1 species
GCCGGGAUAGCUCAAUGGUAGAGCAGGCGAUUCGUAAUCGCCCGAUGAGAGUUCAAUUCUCUCUCCCGGCU